UCCACAAUUCGUUGCUUGUAAUUGUAAAUCAAAAAAGGGAUUUGUUUUAUAUUUUGUUUUUGUGGGUGGGAUGUGCUUGGAAUUUGUUCCCCCAAGAAAUGAUUUAGGAUUAGGUGAAUCGUAGAACAUGGUUGGUAAUCACUGGCAUAAAGAGGAAAGAAGAAAGAAAAAUGACUGUUGUCAUGGUUUUGUUUGUACAACAUUGAAAUGUAGAUACAUUCAUUAUUUACAAUUUUCGAAAUGCUCUUCGUUGCAUAGUCAUUACAUUUAAUGCUUUUUGCUUAAGGACUACCAAAUGAAGAUAGGGAAUUUGAGCUGUCUCAAAUGGCAGAUUUCUAUAUUCUAAUCAUAUGCAUCCUUUAAGUUGAUUGUCUGAGGUGUGAUUGCAGGAAACUUCAUCUG
rnacentral:misc_RNA from 1 species